GACAGUUUUUCUGCAGAGGGAAGGUUCACAGAGAAGGUCCAGGCGACGUUUCAGGAGGGUCAACCCCAGAGGGGAGAGAGAACUCAUCACUGACGGCCAAGAACCCUCCACUUAUAACACGGAGUAUGUCAACAGCAAGCUUCCUGAUGA